UGGGGAAUUUUGGACAAUGGGCGAAAGCCUGAUCCAGCAAUGCCGCGUGUGUGAAGAAGGCCUUCGGGUUGUAAAGCACUUUUGUCCGGAAAGAAAUCCUUGGCUCUAAUACAGUCGGGGGAUGACGGUACCGGAAGAAUAAGCACCGGCUAACUACGUGCCAGCAGCCGCGGUAAUACGUAGGGUGCAAGCGUUAAUCGGAAUUACUGGGCGUAAAGCGUGCGCAGGCGGUUUGCUAAGACCGAUGUGAAAUCCCCGGGCUCAACCUGGGAACUGCAUUGGUGACUGGCAGGCUAGAGUAUGGCAGAGGGGGGUAGAAUUCCACGUGUAGCAGUGAAAUGCGUAGAGAUGUGGAGGAAUACCGAUGGCGAAGGCAGCCCCCUGGGCCAAUACUGACGCUCAUGCACGAAAGCGUGGGGAGCAAACAGGAUUAGAUACCCUGGUAGUCCACGCCCUAAACGAUGUCAACUAGUUGUUGGGGACUUCAUUUCCUUAGUAACGUAGCUAACGCGUGAAGUUGACCGCCUGGGGAGUACGGUCGCAAGAUUAAAACUU
rnacentral:rRNA from 1 species